rnacentral:rRNA from 1 species
UACGUAGGGGGCAAGCGUUGUCCGGAAUUAUUGGGCGUAAAGCGCGUGUAGGCGGCUUUGCAAGUCGGGUGUGAAAUCCCUCGGCUCAACCGAGGAAGUGCGCCCGAAACUGCAGAGCUUGAGUACCGGAGAGGAUGGCGGAAUUCCCGAAGUAGAGGUGAAAUUCGUAGAUAUCGAGAGGAACACCGGUGGCGAAGGCGGCCAUCUGGACGGAUACUGACGCUGAGACGCGAAAGCGUGGGGAGCAAACAGG